GUCCUUUUCUUUCUUCUCGCCAGGUUGCCCAUUUUCUCUCAAAAUUAUAUUUAUAAAUUUUAGUUCUAUUUUUACCCCAUAAUAAUAAUAAAACCCUGCUCUGUUUUAAGUGUUUUAACCUUUGAUCACUGAUACCCUGUCCGACUGACGUAGGGCCCCGUAACGUAUGUCAAGGCUCUGCCUAAAUUCGUUGGGGUUCUGUCUCGUGACGUAGGGAUAAGGUAGAAUUGGGUUACUAUACUUAAUGUGAGUGCACUAUAUAUUUUAUUAAAUAACCCAGGAGUUAUACCCAAAAUAUAUCAACCCUCCUAAAAUAUUUCCGACACUCAUAAAAUAUUUAGAGUGGCUCUAGAUGUCUUUAAACACAACCCGUUUGUGAAAACCGAGCCCGAAAUAUAAUAUAGUAUUAAAAAUAAAUAAAAAACAAGAAAUAUUAAGUUGAGGCGGGCCGCGUAAGAUCCUCGCUUAGUUAACGCGGGCCGCGAGAGUCCCAAAUAGUGGUGCAGCCCGGUGAUGACACGUGUCAUCAUCGUGGCAAGUCUAUACGCUGAUCCGGACGAGCUACACGUUGACCUGGAGUCAACGCGGGCCGCGUAAGCCCGACCCAUGUGUAACGCGGGCCGCGAGAGAGUCAAGUUCAGCAACUAUAUAAAGGAGCCAUCGGGUUCAAUCAGAAUUCGUUCAAAAUUCGUUUCUCAAUCUCAAAUUCUGAAUUAGAGGCUUUAUAAGCGGGUAUUAUACCCCCCUAAUUAGCGAAGCACUGCCUCGUUGUAAGUAUCAUAACCCCUGGAUACGUAUUAGAUACUCUGCCCGAUUGAUCUAGGGUUCCGUAACGGCUGUCGUGGUUCUGCCCGACGUAGUCGUUGGAAUGCCGUCUCGUGGAGGGUAACUUAGUGUGAAGCCAAUAAAAGCCAGCUGGAGAGCACUGAAGGCUUGGAAAAGUGGCAAUAAAGUUACCUAAAAUAAAAUAGAUGUUUUUUUUAUUAAACAAAAUAGGAUUUAUUCCUAUGAAAAUGUGUGUACUACAAACUUGGGUUUUACCCAUGUGUUUAAUGUUAUAAAAUGAGGUGGUUUACU
rnacentral:lncRNA from 1 species